CCAGGUUUCCAGCAUCUUCUGAGGAGAGGCUGAAGGUCCACCAGAGCGCCGUGAGCUACCUGGGUAUGGCCUGCUACAACCGAGGGGCCCUGUCCAGUUUGUUCUACCUGGCCUACGAGUUUCAUGAUGACCCUGAAGGAGGAAUCCUGGCCAACACCAACUGCGGAGGUGAAAACUGUAACCGCGGUUCGGCCCUGGGGGCCCUGCUGGGGGCCGCGGCCGCCCA